rnacentral:rRNA from 1 species
AGUGAACGCUGGCGGCAGGCCUAACACAUGCAAGUCGAACGGCAGCACAAGAGAGCUUGCUCUCUGGGUGGCGAGUGGCGGACGGGUGAGGAAUGCAUCGGAAUCUGCCCAUUUGUGGGGGAUAACCUCGGGAAACCGGGACUAAUAUCGCAUACGACCUACGGGUGAAAGCAGGGGAUCUUCGGACCUUGCGCAGAUGGAUGAGCCGAUGCCGGAUUAGCUAGUUGGAGGGGUAAAGGCCCACCAAGGCGACGAUCCGUAGCUGGUCUGAGAGGAUGAUCAGCCACACUGGGACUGAGACACGGCCCAGACUCCUACGGGAGGCAGCAGUGGGGAAUAUUGGACAAUGGGCGCAAGCCUGAUCCAGCCAUGCCGCGUGUGUGAAGAAGGCCUUCGGGUUGUAAAGCACUUUUGUUGGGAAAGAAAAGCAGCCGGUUAAUACCCGGUUGUCAUGACGGUACCCAAAGAAUAAGCACCGGCUAACUUCGUG